UAGGGAAUCUUCGGCAAUGGACGAAAGUCUGACCGAGCAACGCCGCGUGAGUGAAGAAGGUUUUCGGAUCGUAAAACUCUGUUGUUAGAGAAGAACAAGGACGUUAGUAACUGAACGUCCCCUGACGGUAUCUAACCAGAAAGCCACGGCUAACUACGUGCCAGCAGCCGCGGUAAUACGUAGGUGGCAAGCGUUGUCCGGAUUUAUUGGGCGUAAAGCGAGCGCAGGCGGUUUCUUAAGUCUGAUGUGAAAGCCCCCGGCUCAACCGGGGAGGGUCAUUGGAAACUGGGAGAAGUGAGUGCAGAAGAGGAGAGUGGAAUUCCAUGUGUAGCGGUGAAAUGCGUAGAUAUAUGGAGGAAAACCAGUGGCGAAGGCGGCUCUCUGGUCUGUAACUGACGCUGAGGCUCGAAAGCGUGGGGAGCAAACAGG
rnacentral:rRNA from 1 species